rnacentral:rRNA from 1 species
CCCGCUGAACUUAAGCAUAUCAAUAAGCGGAGGAAAAGAAACUAACAAGGAUUCCCUUAGUAACUGCGAGUGAAGUGGGAAAAGCUCAAAUUUAGAAUCUGGCAGUCACUUGGCUGUCCGAGUUGUAAUCUAGAGAAGUGUUGCCCGUGCUGGACCAUGUACAAGUCUCCUGGAAUGGAGCAUCACAGAGGGUGAGAAUCCUGUCUUUGACAUGGACUGCCAGUGCUUUUGUGGUACGCUCUCAAAGAGUCGAGUUGUUUGGGAAUGCAGCUCAAAAUGGGUGGUAAAUGCCAUCUAAAGCUAAAUAUUGGCGAGAGACCGAUAGUGAACAAGUACCGUGAGGGAAAGAUGAAAAGAACUUUGGAAAGAGAGUUAAACAGUACGUGAAAUUGCUGAAAGGGAAACGCUUGAAGUCAGUCACGUUGACUUGGAAUCAGCUCUGCUUUUGCUGGGUGUACUUUCUUGUCAAUGGGUCAGCAUCAAUUUUGACCAUUGGAUAAAGUUGCUGGGAAUGUAGCAUCCUUUUGGAUGUGUUAUAGCCUGGUGAUGCAUACAGUGGUUGGGAUUGAGGAAUUCAGCACGCCACCAGGCCGGGUUUUUGAACCACGUACGUGCUUAGGAUGCUGGCAAUAUGGCUUUAAUCGACCCGUCUUGAAACACGG